rnacentral:rRNA from 1 species
GCAAGUCGGGCGGAAACGAUGAUAGCUUGCUAUCAGGCGUCGAGCGGCGGACGGGUGAGUAACGCGUGGGAAUCUGCCCAGUAGUGGGGGACAACAGUUGGAAACGACUGCUAAUACCGCAUACGCCCUACGGGGGAAAGGAGGGGAUCUUCGGACCUUUCGCUAUUGGAUGAGCCCGCGUGAGAUUAGAUAGUUGGUGGGGUAAUGGCCUACCAAGUCGACGAUCUCUAGCCGGCCUGAGAGGGUGAUC